CUUCUGUAUAAUUGGCUCAUCAGUUGGUUAUGCCUCUUAGAUAUGCACCAAGCGUGCUCUCCCUUUGUACUCUGCCUUCUUACAGCUGUCAUCAAUUCCAAUUACCUGCUCAGAUGUAUUCCAUUGAUCGGAUUUGCAAUCUAAUGUGCAUUCCAUUAGUUCUUGAGGAUUUCCGAUAACGUUACCUCAUGAAACACUUCCUUGCGUUC